AUACGUAGGGAGCAAGCGUUGUCCGGAUUUACUGGGUGUAAAGGGUGCGUAGGCGGCUUUACAAGUCAGGCGUGAAAUAUAUGGGCUUAACCCAUAGACUGCGUUUGAAACUGUAGAGCUUGAGUGAAGUAGAGGUAGGCGGAAUUCCCGGUGUAGCGGUGAAAUGCGUAGAGAUCGGGAGGAACACCAGUGGCGAAGGCGGCCUACUGGGCUUUAACUGACGCUGAGGCACGAAAGCAUGGGUAGC
rnacentral:rRNA from 1 species